AUGGAGUAUCAGCCAAUCAUCUCUGCACUCAACGUCCACACCAAGCCUAUCACCAUCGAAGCGCUCUUCUCGAUGGUGGCAAACUUCGAUCAACACAUCGAGAUGUUCCAUGGGAACGACGCUGGUGGCUUUAAGUCGUCGGCGAACGCUGCCUCCAGGGGUCGCUCGGGCGGUGGCAAAGGCGGCUAUCGCAACCAGAAAAACGGGGGUCGCGGCGGCGGCUAUUCUGGUGGUGGCGGCCAAAACCCUAGCGGCGGCUACCCUGGCGCGGGUAGCGGUGGAUACAACCACGGUGGCGGCCGCGGCUACAACAACAAUCACGGCAACGACGGUGGUCAAGGUGGUGGCUGUCGGUGUCAAAACCGGCAGAUCUCGGGUAGGGGGUCCCGAACUGUGCGUCUAAGGAUGAUGGUAACAGGAGACGGGGGACACAAUGUUUACCCAGGUUCGGGCCCUCUCUAUGGAGGUAAUACCCUACUUCCUGCUUGA
rnacentral:rRNA from 1 species